CCUACGGGGGGCAGCAGUGAGGAAUAUUGGUCAAUGGGCGAGAGCCUGAACCAGCCAAGUCGCGUGAGGGAGUACUGCCCUAUGGGUUGUAAACCUCUUUUGUCGGGGAGCAAAAGCCGGACGUGUCCGGCUGUGAGAGUACCCGAAGAAAAAGCAUCGGCUAACUCCGUGCCAGCAGCCGCGGUAAUACGUAGGAUGCGAGCGGUAUCCGGAUUUAUUGGGGUUAAAGGGUGCGCAGGCGGAUUUUUAAGUCAGCGGUCAAAUCGUGGGGCUCAACCCCAUCCAGCCGUUGAAACUGGGGAUCUAGAGUGUGCGAGAGGUAUGCGGAAUGCGUGGUGUAGCGGUGAAAUGCAUAGAUAUCACGCAGAACCCCGAUUGCGAAGGCAGCAUACCGGUGCACAACUGACGCUCAGGCACGAAAGCGUGGGUAUCGAACAGGAUUAGAUACCCCAGUAGUC
rnacentral:rRNA from 1 species